CGCUGCCCUGAAGUAGAGGGAUAACGAUUGGAAGACAGAUGCUAGAUACCGUAUAAAGUCUCAGAAACGACAUGUUCUAGAGCUGAAAGGCGGCUUCGAGCUGUCGCUUUUGGAUGGACCCGCGGGUAUAGCUAGUUGGUGAGGUAAAGGCUCACCAAGGCAGUGAUACGUAGCCGACCUGAGAGGGUGAUCGGCACAUUGGGACUGAGACACGGCCCAAACUCCUACGGGAGGCAGCAGUAGGGAAUCUUCCACAAUGGACGAAAGUCUGAUGGAGCAACGCCGCGUGAGUGAAGAAGGUUUUCGGAUCGUAAAACUCUGUUGUUGGAGAAGAACACGUUUGAGAGUAACUGUUCAGACGUUGACGGUAUCCAACCAGAAAGCCACGGCUAACUACGUGCCAGCAGCCGCGGUAAUACGUAGGUGGCAAGCGUUAUCCGGAUUUAUUGGGCGUAAAGCGAGCGCAGGCGGUUUUUUAAGUCUGAUGUGAAAGCCUUCGGCUUAACCGAAGAAGUGCAUCGGAAACUGGGAAACUUGAGUGCAGAAGAGGACAGUGGAACUCCAUGUGUAGCGGUGAAAUGCGUAGAUAUAUGGAAGAACACCAGUGGCGGAGGCGGUGUCUGGUCUGUAACUGACGCUGAGGCUCGAAAGCUUGGGUAGCGAACAGGAUUAAUACCUGGUAUCCAUGCGAACA
rnacentral:rRNA from 1 species